GUGCCAGGCCACCCUCUUGCACAAGGGGAGCGUCCCUGCUUCACAGGGUGACAGUCUGGAAAGCUGGGCCUUGCUGGAGACCGUGCACACUCUUCACUACCUCUGAGAAAAAGCACAGGAUGCCCCAGGGCAUAUGAGAGGGAGCCCAGCCCUAUGCAGCGCAGCAGGCAGGAAGGCUUUCCUGAGCUGGUCCUGAAGGCCCUGGGGGCCGGGGCUGGCUACUGUGGCAGACACGGCUGAUAGGCCCGCAGCAACUGCUCCCACCUCCUUCUGUGGCCUGAGCUGUAAACGCAGAGGCUGGAAAACUUAGUAACUACAUUUCCCAGGCGCCUUUACAAGGUUUGAAUUCGGUUCCACCAACCAGCUGCACUCAUGCAUGAUUUGGAAGGCAAACAGAGGGAGGAGGCCAUCUCCAGUGGCCUCUGCACAUUUUCUGCUGGUUCGCAGGGUCACAGAGGUGCUGGGUCUUUCUGGAAGAACAUUCUGGGGUCCAGGCUCCAGCUUCUUGGGGGUCAACUGGCAACUUUAGCAGCUGAAGUGGCCUCUGACCCCUGGAUCACAGAUGAAAUGCCAUUUUCUUGAAGUAGUAGUUCCAGCAGCAACGUUGUGAUUUCCUCCUCCUUGACGGCAGCAGAGUUGGGACCAGUUCUGCUGUGUUUCCUGGGAUUAUCCUGGAGACUCAGCCUGACCCUCUCCUAAGUUUCAGAGCUCCCAAGUCCUGUCUUAAAUCUCCUCCUGCUUAAAAUACCAGAGUGACUGCUGUUCCCUAAAACCAAGACACCAGGCAAAGAGGGAACAAAAGAAUGUUGCAGACGAAGCGACUGGCAUGGGUGCAAGAGCCUAGCUGGAGCUGGAGAAGGGAAGGACGGGGCAGGUGGCCCAGCUAGGAGCCACUGCGUGAUGGACGAGAGCCCACGCUAAGGCAGGGGUGAUGGGACGGAGGAGGGAAGGGGAGGGGAGGAAGAAUAAGCCAGACUUAGGAACUGAUGCCUUGGGCGUGAAGAAUGAUCUGAGGUCUCUAUCCCAGGUGGCUGAGACCAUACAUCAUGACCCGAUGUAUCUCAUGAAGCGAACAAGGCAGCACGGGGUACGGUGCCGCGGGGAGGGUGCGGCAUUAGGGACCCAAGGGGGGAAACAGGUGAGACCCUGGCCUCGUGCCCUUACAUUCCAGCAAGGACACAGAUCGACAGUGGAUAAAAUCAUUUCCAAGAGUGAUAAGUGCUCCCCAAAAGGGGGUAUCAGAAUAAAAAAGGGCAGGCUGGUCAGGAAAGGCAUCUCGGAGGAGGUGACAAUUGGGCCAAGACGGAAAGGAGGAGAAGGAGGCGGCGGUGGGAAGGUCUGAGAGGACAGUCCAGGUUGCACGCAGAGGCAGGAUGGCUGCGACAGAGGCAGCAAGGGAAGCAGGGAGGGUCCCGGAGGAGGGCGGGGGAAGGUAGGAGAACUCUCAGCCAACCAGAACCUUUGAUUAACCAGAACCCCUCCCUUCAUGCUGGCUCACAAGGCUUUUGCCACUAAUUUGGCAAAGGAGUGAAUAAUGUGUUAAAACUCAGGUGUCUUAAAUUCUGGUUCCCCAGAAGGGCAGGAACCAUACAUCCUGGCCACCAGGGGCCAGACAAACAGCACGAGAGAUGAGUAGCAGGGAAGGAGCCCAGAACCAAAUGAAGACAGGAACCAGUGGUUGCUAAACACCAGACAGAGGGGGCUACACGGGGCCUAGAGGACGACAGGAAGAGAAGGGGGAGGAUGGGGGUGAAAGGAGAAAACUUCCAGAGGAUUCCACGUCAGAUUCUAGAUCAAGCAGGACCUUGCUGGUGGCAAGUGACAGCGACCUAACCUGAAUGGGCUUAACUGAAAUGAGUGUUAUUGACAUAAGCAGCUGAAAGACCAGACGUGGAUUAGGCCCAGACUGAGAAGGGGUCUGAGCACCGUCACUGCUGCCUGGCUCAGGCCUCUCUCUGUCCUUCAGCCUGGCUCACCUCUGAUGCUUCACUCUCCGCCUGGUGGAGAGACAGCUGCAGCAGUGCCAGCCAUUGCAUCUGCUCAGCCAUCAGGAAAUGGGGAAUGUCUCUGGUUGACUUUGGAUCAUGCCCAUCUCUGAGCCCAUUGCCGUGGGCCCACAGUGUGGGGGGCGGUUCCCAGAGGGAACGGGAUGGGUUAUCAGAAGAAGAGGGAAUGUUUGCUGGUCUACCGCGGGCUUCCAACAAACAGCCACCAAAACCACAACAUUACCACUACUACUAACGAUGACAACAAUUCUCCCACUGCGCGCUCGCUCCCGGUCAGAGCGGUCAGGCUCGCCUGUGGGCCCCCUCAGGCCUCAAACAAGCCCUCAGGGACGUGCUCUUCGCC
ensembl:lncRNA